GAGUUUGAUCCUGGCUCAGGAUAAACGCUGGCGGCGCACAUAAGACAUGCAAGUCGAACGAACUUAAUUCAUUCUUUUAGAUUGGAAGCGGUUAGUGGCGGACUGGUGAGUAACGCGUGAGCAACCUGCCUAUUAGAGGGGAAUAACAGUGAGAAAUCAUUGCUAAUACCGCAUAUGCUUACACUAUUGCAUGAUAGAGUAAGGAAAGGAGCAAUCCGCUAAUAGAUGGGCUCGCGUCUGAUUAGCUAGUUGGUGGGGUAGAAGCCUACCAAGGCGACGAUCAGUAGCCGGACUGAGAGGUUGAACGGCCACAUUGGGACUGAGAUACGGCCCAGACUCCUACGGGAGGCAGCAGUCGGGAAUAUUGCGCAAUGGAGGGAACUCUGACGCAGUGACGCCGCGUAUAGGAAGAAGGUUUUCGGAUUGUAAACUAUUGUCGUUAGGGAAGAAAAAAGACAGUACCUAAGGAGGAAGCCCCGGCUAACUAUGUGCCAGCAGCCGCGGUAAUACAUAGGGGGCAAGCGUUAUCCGGAAUUAUUGGGUGUAAAGGGUGCGUAGACGGGUGUUUAAGUUGGUUGUGAAAUCCCUCGGCUCAACUGAGGAACUGCAACCAAAACUGGAUAUCUUGAGUGUCGGAGAGGAAAGUGGAAUUCCUAGUGUAGCGGUGAAAUGCGUA
rnacentral:rRNA from 1 species